AUUCUGCCAGUGAACCCGCUCGCAAUGUAGUUCUCCAACCAUGAAAGAUUAAGAAUUGUCUAACAGGCUGCCUCAGAGGGCUUAUCAUGUUCCCUCUUUUCUUUGCUGCUGGCCAGAGGCGUUUGUCUAAUAGAAUCUGUGACAUUUGUGGGCUUAAAUGAUGCGAUUCAAAGAGCUAAAUCGAUGGACUUGGCAGAAGGCCAGGGCACAAAAUGGCUUUGGCAAAUCCCAGCCCAGAUUUCUGCCCAGCAUAAGACUUCAUCUGUGAGGAGGAAAGGCUGGCUUUCUACCUAACUAAGAAAACAUCAGUGCCUUCAGAGUGUCGUGGUAUCUGUGCAUGGCUUGCACCACGUGUCAUGAAGACUGAAGCUUAAAUGGAGGAAAGGACCUAAACUGACAGUGCCUGAACAAGUCAGAAUGUAUCUAAUCUGGCGUGUGUGAAACCUAGCAGCCAUCCAAGAAAGCGCAAGGCAAAGUGCUACUGGUGAAAAAUGAAGAACAAACCUCCUGACUGAGAAAGGUCAGCUCUGCCAAACAAGUACGAAAGCAAGAAUCAAACAGGAAGAAAGGUUAGGAACACAAAAGCGCAGAGAAUGUACAUGCAUGCAGGGCUCCAGGAGAAGAAUUUACCAUGUGUAAUCUCACUUAAGCGUCAUGAAAUCCUGUAAGAAAGGUCAAUUCUAUUAUCCUCAUUUUACAAGUGAGAAAACGAAGCCUUGGAGAGAUUCCAUGACCUGCCCGAGGUCACACAGGUACCACAGGAUGACUGAAGGGGUUUGGAUUUGUAUAUUUCCCUUCUCCUACAUG
rnacentral:lncRNA from 1 species